rnacentral:rRNA from 1 species
UACGGGGGGAGCAAGCGUUGUUCGGAUUUACUGGGCGUAAAGGGCGCGUAGGCGGUCGUGACAAGUCACUUGUGAAAUCUCCGGGCUUAACUCGGAACGGUCAAGUGAUACUGUCGGACUAGAGUACAGAAGGGGGCAACUGGAAUUCUCGGUGUAGCGGUGAAAUGCGUAGAUAUCGAGAGGAACACCUGCGGCGAAGGCGGGUUGCUGGGCUGAUACUGACGCUGAGGCGCGAAAGCGUGGGGAGCGAUCCGG